GAUGAACGCUGGCGGCGUGCUUAACACAUGCAAGUCGAACGAAGCACUUUAUUUGAUUUCCUUCGGGACUGAUUAUUUUGUGACUGAGUGGCGGACGGGUGAGUAACGCGUGGGUAACCUGCCUUGUACAGGGGGAUAACAGUUGGAAACGGCUGCUAAUACCGCAUAAGCGCACAGCAUUGCAUGAUGCAGUGUGAAAAACUCCGGUGGUAUAAGAUGGACCCGCGUUGGAUUAGCUAGUUGGUGAGGUAACGGCCCACCAAGGCGACGAUCCAUAGCCGACCUGAGAGGGUGACCGGCCACAUUGGGACUGAGACACGGCCCAAACUCCUACGGGAGGCAGCAGUGGGGAAUAUUGCACAAUGGGCGAAAGCCUGAUGCAGCGACGCCGCGUGAGCGAAGAAGUAUUUCGGUAUGUAAAGCUCUAUCAGCAGGGAAGAUAAUGACGGUACCUGACUAAGAAACACCGGCUAAAUACGU
rnacentral:rRNA from 1 species